UGGCGUCAUAAUCCAAUUUGAAGAGCGCUAACAAUGUGAAAGCAGAUUACACGGAUUCCUACUCAAGCAUCAACAUAAUACUUGAUUUUGAAAAAAGGAACAAAAUGACAAAAUAGCAAUAGUAAAGUGAAAGAACUGCUUCUGACAUGAGUCAGGUAUUCUCGAUUCACUCCAUGAGGUCUAUAGAACGGUGAAAUGCCUAAAUACAAAAAGGAAACACGUUUUGGCCAUUUCAAAAUUUUUUUUUAACUGAAGAUAAUUGUAUCUCCGCCAGUGCAAGCGGUUAUCUUAACACUUACGCAGGGAGUUAUUUUGGCUUUUACUCGGAGGCUGUCUUCAUGCUCACAUCUCGAUUGGCAGCAGCAUCGUGAUCUUUAAUUUGUUGCCGACAAAUAACUUUAUGUCGCGUCGUGAAAUUUUGCGUUUCCAACGAUAAUAUCGGCAAUUUCAGGGUCAUCUUUCCAUUCUGAGCCUGUGCCCUUUGGUCCUAGACUCUGCUACUAUUGGAAACAUCCUUUAUAUGACGACUCUAUCAACGCCUUUCAGCAUUUGAUGUCACGUGAACAAGUGCUGCUGUGUGACUGUCAUCAUUCCCCAACAAAGAAGUGCACUUAGCCUCCAGAGACAAGACUACGUUCUCCAGACUCAAAAGAGAAUGUGGAGAUGGACUUCUCACUCUUUGUCAUUAACAGUCAUAUGAGCCACGUCUGAAAGUUUACCAAACCAUUUUUCUGUACAUCAGCAACACACUUAUUGAUAAUAAAAGAACUUAAGGAGUUUAGCUUUACUUGUCACGUGUACAUGAAAGCAUACAAUGAAAAGCAUAAUUUUGCGUCAAUAGCCAACACAGUCCAAAGAUGGUGCUGGAGGCAGCCUGCAAGUGUUGCCACUCCUCUGGUGCCAACAAAACAUGCCCACAAC